AACUUUGCACAGUGGCAAUACUGUAGCCAAUGAUGUUUAUCUGAGAUGAGAUUAUUGCUAAUUGAAAACUUUUCCUAAUACCCCAUCAUGAUAACUUUUCUAUUAAUGAUAUAUGAUGCAUGGAUUAAGCUGUUAAUC